rnacentral:rRNA from 1 species
GCCCUUAGAGUUUGAUCAUGGCUCAGGAUGAACGCUGGCGGCGUGCCUAACACAUGCAAGUCGAACGGACUUACAUUGAAGCCUAGCGAUAUGUAAGUUAGUGGCGGACGGGUGAGUAACGCGUGGGUAACCUGCCUUGUACUGGGGGACAACAGUUGGAAACGACUGCUAAUACCGCAUAAGCGCACAGCUUCGCAUGAAGCAGUGUGAAAAACUCCGGUGGUACAAGAUGGACCCGCGUCUGAUUAGCUGGUUGGUGAGGUAACGGCCCACCAAGGCAACGAUCAGUAGCCGGCCUGAGAGGGUGAACGGCCACAUUGGGACUGAGACACGGCCCAAACUCCUACGGGAGGCAGCAGUGGGGAAUAUUGCACAAUGGGGGAAACCCUGAUGCAGCAACGCCGCGUGAGUGAAGAAGUAUUUCGGUAUGUAAAGCUCUAUCAGCAGGAAAGAAAAUGACGGUACCUGACUAAGAAGCCCCGGCUAACUACGUGCCAGCAGCCGCGGUAAUACGUAGGGGGCAAGCGUUAUCCGGAUUUACUGGGUGUAAAGGGAGCGUAGACGGUUUUGCAAGUCUGAAGUGAAAGCCCGGGGCUUAACCCCGGGACUGCUUUGGAAACUGUAGAACUAGAGUGCAGGAGAGGUAAGUGGAAUUCCUAGUGUAGCGGUGAAAUGCGUAGAUAUUAGGAGGAACACCAGUGGCGAAGGCGGCUUACUGGACUGUAACUGACGUUGAGGCUCGAAAGCGUGGGGAGCAAACAGGAUUAGAUACCCUGGUAGUCCACGCCGUAAACGAUGAUUACUAGGUGUUGGUGGGUACGACCCAUCGGUGCCGCAGCAAACGCAAUAAGUAAUCCACCUGGA